rnacentral:rRNA from 1 species
GGCGGACGGGUGAGUAAUACUUAGGAAUCUGCCCAUUAGUGGGGGACAACAUUCGGAAACGGAUGCUAAUACCGCAUACGCCCUACGGGGGAAAGCGGGGGAUCUUCGGACCUCGCGCUAAUGGAUGAGCCUAAGUCGGAUUAGCUUGUUGGUGAGGUAAUGGCUCACCAAGGCGACGAUCCGUAGCUGGUCUGAGAGGACGAUCAGCCACACUGGGACUGAGACACGGCCCAG